rnacentral:misc_RNA from 1 species
GGGGCUAACAGACCUACAAUGCUUGAUGUGCACUGGGACUUAGAAUAUGCACUGCGGCUGCAACAAACUCCAGUGCCCAGAGAACCAUAUGAGGACAGCAGAACAGAUGUUUCAUCAAAUUUUGUAAUGAGUCUGGGCUAUAACAGUUUCCCCCGUGAAGAUGACUCUGUGCACAUUGCCGAUGAUGCUCACUCAGGCUUGAAGUUCCUUUCCUCCCAAUCAAUUAUGAUGGUCCCAGAUAAUCUUCACAAUCAACACAUUUAGAUGACCAGUGUCUAGUGUCUGCUUACUAUAUUGUUUUUGGUUAUAUAUAUAUAAUUCGCUUCAACUAGGAAUCGAACUUGAGCUCUUAUAAUUUUGGAGAUGACUCCAGUAUUAUGUACUA